rnacentral:rRNA from 1 species
AUUGAACGCUAGCGGCAUGCUUUACACAUGCAAGUCGAACGAGUGGCGGACGGGUGAGUAAUAUCUGGGAAAGUGUCCAAUAGAGGGGGAUAACUACUGGAAAGGGUGGCUAAUCCCGCAUACUAUUGGACCGGCCGAUAUGGGAUUAGCUAGUAGGUGGGGUAAAGGCUCACCAAGGCAACGAUCCCUAGCUGGUUUGAGAGGACGACCAGCCACACUGGGACUGAGACACGGCCCAGACUCCUACGGGAGGCAGCAGUGGGGAAUAUUGCACAAUGGGCGCAAGCCUGAUGCAGCCAUGCCGCGUGUAUGAAGAAGGCCUUCGGGUUGUAAAGUACUUUCAGCGGAGAGGCGUUACUCGCAGAAGAAGCACCGGCUAACUACGUGCCAGCAGCCGCGGUAAUAC